rnacentral:rRNA from 1 species
AGAGGUCACACCCGUUCCCAUGCCGAACACGGCCGUUAAGCUCUUUUGCGCCGAUGGUAGUUGGAGGCUUCCUCCUGUGAGAGUAGGACGUUGCCGGGC